rnacentral:rRNA from 1 species
CCUACGGGUGGCAGCAGUGGGGAAUAUUGGACAAUGGGGGGAACCCUGAUCCAGCGACGCCGCGUGAGUGAAGAAGUAUUUCGGUAUGUAAAGCUCUAUCAGCAGGGAAGAAAGAAAUGACGGUACCUGACUAAGAAGCCCCGGCUAACUACGUGCCAGCAGCCGCGGUAAUACGUAGGGGGCAAGCGUCAUCCGGAUUUAAUGGGGGUAAAGGGAGCGUAGGCGGCGAUGCAAGUCUGAAGUGAAAGGCGGGGGCCCAAACCCCGGACUGCUUUGGAAACUGGAUGGCUGGAGUGCAGGAGAGGUAAGUGGAAUGCGUGGUGUAGCGGUGAAAUGCAUAGAUAUUAGGAGGAACACCAGUGGCGAAGGCGGCUUACUGGACUGUAACUGACGUUGAGGCUCGAAAGCGUGGGGAGCGAACAGGAUUAGAUACCCCGGUAGUC